GUUCUUGUGGUGUAAAAUAGCACAUUAAGGGUUUCAUCCUAAAAGUAUAAAAAAUUAUCAAGAAUU
rnacentral:tRNA from 1 species